rnacentral:rRNA from 1 species
AACGAACGCUGGCGGCAGGCCUAACACAUGCAAGUCGAACGCCCUAGCAAUAGGGAGUGGCAGACGGGUGAGUAACACGUGGGAACCUUCCCUAUAGUACGGAAUAUACCAGGGAAACUUGGAGCAAUACCGUAUACGCCCGAGAGGGGAAAGAUUUAUCGCUAUAGGAUGGGCCCGCGUAGGAUUAGCUAGUUGGUGAGGUAAUGGCUCACCAAGGCGACGAUCCUUAGCUGGUUUGAGAGAACAACCAGCCACACUGGGACUGAGACACGGCCCAGACUCCUACGGGAGGCAGCAGUGGGGAAUAUUGGACAAUGGGCGGCAAGCCUGAUCCAGCCAUGCCGCGUGAGUGAUGAAGGCCUUAGGGUUGUAAAGCUCUUUUGCCGGGGACGAUAAUGACGGUACCCGGAGAAUAAGUCCCGGCUAACUUCGUGCCAGCCGCCGCGGUAAU